rnacentral:rRNA from 1 species
UACGUAGGGGCAAGCGUUAUCCGGAUUUACUGGGUGUAAAGGGAGCGCAGACGGCAGUGCAAGUCUGAUGUGAAAGCCCGGGGCUCAACCCCGGAACUGCAUUGGAAACUGUACAGCUUGAGUGUCGGAGAGGUAAGCGGAAUUCCUAGUGUAGCGGUGAAAUUCGUAGAUAUUAGGAGGAACACCGGUGGCGAAGGCGGCUUACUGGACGAUGACUGACGUUGAGGCUCGAAAGCGUGGGGAGCAAACAGGAUUAGAUACCCUGGUAGUCCCU